AAGGAAGUCUGUACAGCGAUUGCAGUAGCCUUACACUAUAUGUUCCUAACCGACUUUUGUUUGAUGCUAGCUGAGGGAAUUCAAAUAGUGAGAAUGGUUGUCAUAGUAUUUUCAACAAGAUCUAUUAUUCAUUGGUUGUUACCUCUUUGCUGGAGUUAGUAUCCUGCUUUAGAUAUUCAUUUACGUCGUCUACUUUUGACAUUUAGUUCUUAUUUGAAUAUUGCCAAAACAGUUUCAUAACAAGUAUAUACAUAUAAGCAACCAUUUUUCGUUUUUUCGUUUCUCACGAUUAUCAAUAAAUGUUUGUUAGAAAACUUUUUUAGAACAACGGUUGUACAAUAAACAAACAAGUUUUUCUUCAUGCUUUUGCAUAUACUAUUGUGUCAAAACGAUACAAGAUUUGGUCGCAAAAUUAAAAAUUGUAGUUGAACAGAUAUUCUCAAAUUGAAUUAAAAUCAGUAGGCAAUACGUGUAUUUCAUGCGCAAAAGAUUAAAUUUCUUAAAAAUACAUGUAUAUAAAUUCUACACAAAGUUAUGUUAUUAUAAUGCAGUUGAAAUAUACGUGAUACUUCCUAGACAUCACCGGGACAAGUAAAUAAAAUAACAUUGGAUAGGUUUGAAUAAAAACUUCUUUAUUUCUAGUUGCACCUGUUAUUAUUGUUGGAAUUUCGGCCGGCGUGACCCAACUAGAAGGUUAUGGCAACUUUCAGUUGUACGUAUCUUAUGAGUAUUAAUUAAAAUUACAAUCACGUAUUUCAACCCAGAAAUGUUGUUGAAAGGUUUCAUAUGUUUUUGUAUUUAUAUAAUUAAAAGGAUAAUUUAGUUAUGUCGAUGAGGAGUCAUUCCUUACAAAUAUGAUGAGAGUUGAGUUUUUCAUAAAAAUAGCUUUAUCAAUUAUGGAAAAUAAACAAAUUAGAAUUUUACAGAUUAUGGGGCAAAAAUUAAAGUGCAUCCCAUCUCCAUACAUUUAUUUCUGCAACAGCCUUAGCUAAAAGCAGCAUGGUCAUCUUAUAUGAUUAAUUCUCCCAAUAUUGUAUAUGUUCAUUUGAACAAGGGACUUAUUAAACCAAGAAUUCUAAAUAGUGCAGUUGACAUCAUCCCUUCGUAAAUUGUACGGACGCCAUUACGUGUUGGUUGACUGUUAUGGAAUAUCCCUUUCUUAGAUGAUAUUGAAUAUGUUUCUUACGUCGUAACUACAAUCAGUUCUCUUUUUACGAAUGUGACCUACCGAUUAGACAAUUUACUGGGUUUAUAUUAACAUGAGCAAAACGACGGAUGCCGCAUGUGGAGCAGGAUCUGCUUACUCUUCUGGAACACUUGAUAUUAUUCCCCCCAGUUUCUGUUGGGGUUCGUUUUGCUUAGUCGUUGGUUUUUUAUGUUGUGUCGUGUGUACUAUUGUUUGUCGGUUUGUCUUUUUUUUCCCUUUUUAGCCAUGGAAUUGUUAGUUUUUUUUCGAUCUUUGUGUUUAAAACAAUACUUUUUUUUAUAUAAUACUUCUGUCCUGAGAAAGGAAAAUGCAGUUAGAUAAAAAGAAAAUUUUGUAAAGUAAAAAUAAUAUCAAUGUCUUUAUAAAAUAUUAAAAAAAAUAUUUAAAAAACCAAGUCUCAUCUAUCAUAUAUUUAAACUUUGGUACAUUGGUCGUAAAAGAGAAACAAAUUUUGGUUGAAACAACCCUUUUUUUAAAUCAAUUAUUCAAAAAGUUCACUUGAAAGUAUUUGGAUUCAAAUAUUAAUGACGAUCUGCAAAAAAAUCUGCAUAAUACUGAAACUCGUCAAAUAAACCAAGCUUUCAAUUGGUCCAAUUAAUUCGAAUAUAUGACUUAAUUAUUUUUAUUAUCAAUUCAGUUGCUGGUUGAGCCUUGAAACAAAUCUUAUAUGGGCAUUUAUAGGACCGGCAUUGCUUGUAGUUUUGGUACGUAUCGAAAGUAAAGGGAGGGAUUAUAGCUAUUCGAAUUCAAUUCUACUAACUUAUGAAUAUAAUAUGUCAAUUACAGUUUAUAUACCGUAGACAUAAACACCUGCUUUCAUUCUGUAUUUUGCGGACACCAAGUGGCACUUUAUUCAUUUGCCUAUUGACUUCAUAUUAUUGUGACAACAAUACCGACCGCCUUUCUCAGAAUGUGAAAUACCGAGUUAAACCAUGCACCGGGUUUGUACUAGCAUGUACACAGGACGGGUACCCUUCUCGAGCACAUCGAUAUCAAUCACAGUUUUUGUUUUGGUUUGUGUUGCUCAGUCGUUAGUUUUCUAUGUUGUGUUUUGCGUAUCGUUGUUAGUAUUUUCAUCGUUUUUCGUUUUAUUGCCAAAUCAUUGUCCGUUUAUUUGGUUUGAUGAGUUCAAAUUUUCUUUUAGUAUCUUUUGCCUCUCUGCUCUUAAAACUCUUAAACCUUGCCAGAAACAUUUGAGCAGUACGUGAUCUCAUAAAUCCGGAUAAAACCUGCAUAUCUCAGCAGUACACAGUGCUGUGUUAUCUUUUUUAACCAAACAAUUGUAUAUUACAGAUUAACGUUGUUAUAUUUGUUAUAAUGGUACAUAAAAUGUUGACUAGUAGGGGAAUAGCUGGAAAAACACUUAAGGAGAAAUCUAAGUAAGUUAAUACACUACUUUUCACUUUAGAUUUGUUUUAAAUAUUUAACAAAACGUCCCCUUGAAUGAAAACUAAAUGUUAACAAGCCCUGUAACGAAUUAUAAACAGCAUAGCCUAUAUAAUCAAGGAAGAAACUUAAGAAUAAACACAAAUAACUCAUACAAUAUGAAUAUUUAUUUAAUUCUUGUAGUCAUAAUCAGUUCACCUGAAAAGUGAAAGGAGUACAGAAAAGGCUAAGAAAAUUUAAUAGCAAUCUAGCUACAUUAUGUAUGACUAAUAUUAAGAUAUAUCGAAGGAAAUAUAUAGAAAACUAAUAUGAGAAUGAAAUUGAUAUCUGCUUUUAAUCUUAUAUUCCAAAUGUGUUUGAAAUGCAUCGCUACUAUUGAAUUAAAUUUCAAAACUUUAUUUCGUCUGCUUAGGAUUGGUUUAAAAAGUAUCUGCAUUAUUUUGCCAUUGUUUGGAGUAACAUGGGUACUUGGUGCAGUUUCUGUGAAUGAUGAUUUGGUCAUGUUCCAAUACCUAUUUGCAAUUUUCAACUCUCUACAGGUAUUGUUUAUAUUUCUAAAAGGGUAUCUUUAACAACUGCAUUCAUGUGUUUUUUACACAAUGUCAAUAAAAAAGAUAUUGACAGAUAUCCUAACAGAUACAUUACGUUUGUACAUGUUCAUGCUUUAGAGACCGCGAUAUAAAAUAUAUGACAAACUAAAAUAAUAAAAAUGAACGACUGAAACCGAAAAUUCACUAGUUUUACAGUUACCUAAGUUAACGUUGUACGAUACGAUUUAGCUGUGUCUAAAGUAACUCGCAACAUGCCUUGCGCAAUCAGAAUAGUCGUAAGAUUAAACCGAUUUCGUCCUGUGUCCAGUCGUUUUAUAUUCACGGUUGUGACAUUUCGACAAGUGUCGAUUCGUAUUGCAGGAGAUCCACGGGUAGCAGGUAAUGCUCUUUCGUCUCGCUCCUGUUAGAGUUAAAAGAAUUACGUCAGUUUUAGUUUCUUUCCUUGAUUUGUAUCUGCUCGAUCGAUGAUGAGAUUUAGAUAUACACACAAUUGUUGACAACUACAAUUGAUGUAACCUGCUAAAAAAUCCAACUCAAUGCUGAACAUCAUUUUUGCUUUUGUAUAAUCAUCAGUCAUCGCGGAACAUUUAAAGAUAGAAUAAUCAUUUAAGUCAGAAUGAAAAUAGAUGUAUUAAAUGGAGAUAAAUAUUUUUAUAACAGGGUUUCUUUAUUUGUUUGUUCCACUGUUUCUAUAAUAAGCAGGUGAGUGUUACUGUAAAAAUAGAAGAAAUAUUAUAAUGGGAAAUAACUAUUUAGGAGAUAACUGUAUUGUAUUUUAAGCUUGGCCUCGUAAACGUAGAUUACUGUCGCAAAUGAGUUUACCUAGCGACGGGAGCGGGAUAGGUAAACGAAUUUGCGACAGUAAAAUCAGUUUUCAAAGCCAAGCUUAAAUACAUACAGUUAUCUCCAUUCUAUGCACAUUUAAAAAAUGUCAUUUACUAAUAUUUUAGCUUAAAAUGCGAUAAAUAAAAGUCCCGAACUGUUGCAUUGUCUUUAGCAUCUAAACAAUGUGACGUCAUGUGUUUACUCUGGUUCAACAUUAUACUAACAUAUUUACUUUUGUACGCUCAGAAUGGUUUCAAUAUAGACUAAAAGAAGAUUUGAGGCUCAAAAUGUGAAUAUCUUGUUAUUUUUUGAGAAUUACAUACCAGAAUUCAAAAUGGUGGCUUCUAUUACGGACUGUAGAACGUGGAAUCUAACCCCUCAAAAUAUUUAUCAACGUCCAAUGAAAAUUGUCGUUACAAACUAAUUGCAUUAGAAUUAAGUUUUUUGUACCAAUAGUCGAAUGAACACAAUCAAAACAAGCUUAUUUACAUCAGUAUAUCGUCGUUUUUGUAGCCUCAUUCGUCUACUUCCCAUUACUAUUGACAUACUUCGAAAUGACGUUUUAAAUCAUUCAUUAACAAGACACAAAACAAAUCCGUCAAACUUGCAUUAACAUUGUACAUGUGUUGUAAUUUGUUUUAACUGGCACUCUUAUCGGAGUAGUCAGAUGAUUUCUUAAAAAGCAAGUGCAAAUUAAAUGUUCAAAAAUUAGUAUCACAUCUUUAUUUACGAACAUAAAGUCUCACAACUACAUAACAAUUAAAUAAAAAAAAUACAUUUGAUUACACAAAUAUCCUUAUUUUACUAUUACGUUUAUACAUAAGAGUGAUCCCUAAUUAUAAGAUUAAUUGGCAAAUGUCUUCAAAUGGAAAUGUUUGAAUUAAAAAAAAACUGUAAAAAAAAGAAAAUAGAAAAAUUACAUAAAUGAUGAUUAGCAUUUAAAGUAAAGUAUACUAAAACUUACAAUCAUGGUGAGUGUUUCUAAUUCAUAUUGCACUUAUCUCUUAUAAAGAUAAAUUUCUCAACGUGUGCAUAUAUGUGUGUUAGUCAAGUUGUUGUUCACGUUUAUUUGCAACCGAAUGGUUGCUAACUGUAAUGGUUCAACAACAUUAACACUUACCAUUUAUGUAUUGAAUAUUCGUCUGAUAUUUACAUUGAACGAUUAUAUUCCUUAUUUUGAAUAUUUGAGUGAUCCUGGAUUUGAAUGCAGAUAGGGUGAUGCAUGCAUUUAAGGACGCACUAUUCAUUUUGAAGUAAAUUGAAUCGUUUCUCUUGAAGUCACUGAAUUAGUUUUAUUUGGUUAUUAUACAUGAACAAGAGCAUUCAAGUGGAUAUUUCUGUGAUCUAAUUCUAUUUGCGGACAAAAUUAAAAAUGGAAUUCUCAUUUAUACCAAAAAGCAACGCAAAAAAAAAUUGGUAAACAAAAUUGGUUAAAAAACAUUAAUAUUGCAGGCCUAGAAAAUAUCUUGAUAUUUAUAUAUCAUUGAAAAAUGACAAAAAUGCAAUAAUCUAAUGAGCUUUCAGUAGAUUUUUUUAAUGUUUUUAUACUAUCUUUUAUUCUCAUUGUUUCCAUGUUGUACUUUGUGUAAAUAAAAUCUUUGCAAGCUUAUAUUCAUUUAACACAUCAAAUAUUUUUAUGUUAUACUGUGCUUAGGUCAGACAAGGUUACAAUCAUUAUCAGAGACGUCGAAAAUCAAACCGUCUGGAUUCUAAAUUAUCUACCAAUUUAACUAAUACUGUGAGUAUAUGAAUAUCUGAAUAAGCAAAAUUUAAAAACAGACAUGAAGAUUUAUGCUGAUUCAAUAACAAAUCACCAUACUAUAAUCAACAAGGAUAUUUUCACAUAUUCAAACAAAAUUAAAAAAAUGUUUUUUUUUGUCUGAUUAAUGCCAUUUACGGUAAAUAACGAUUAUAUUUUUAUCUUUUUUUCUCAUUUAUCACAUGCAGAUUUAUUUUCGAUUUAUGAGUUUGACUGUCCCUUUGGUAUCUUUCGUCCCUCUUUUCUCUCACUACACAAAAGAUAAUAAAAAGAAAAACCGAAAACCACGGUUAAUUAAAAAAGAAGUCCAUUUAAAGAGUGACGAAAGGUAUCAGAGGGACAGGCAAACUCAUUAAUCGAAAAUAAACUGACAACGUCAUGGCUAAAAAUGAAUAAAGACAAUCAGACAAACAAUAGUACAUAUGACAUAACAUAGGAAACUAAAGAAUAAGCAACACGAACCGCACAAAAAAAUCUAGGGGUGAUCUCAGGUGCUCUGGAAGGGUAAGCAGAUCCUGCUCCACAUGUGGCACCCGUCUUGUUGCUUAUGUGAUUACAAAUCCGGUAAAUAGUCUUAUUCCUUAAGAUCACAUUCAUGAAAGGGAAGGGGAGUGUAAAUACGACGUAAGGAACAUAUCCGAUAUCAUUUGUGAAACGGUUAUUCAAUAACGUUCAACCAACUCGUGAUGGCGUCCGUGAAAUUUACGAAGAGGUGAUUUCAACUUCACCACUUGAAAUUCUUGGUUUAAUAGCUUUCUUGUGAGCAGCAACCCUCUAUCGAGAAAAUCAUGAUAGAAACAGCAACCCUCUAUUAAGAAAAUCAUGUAAGGAAAAUGCAAGCACAAUGUUUCACUAUAUCAACCAACGAAACGAACGAACAACAAAUAUCAUAUUCUUGACUUGGUCCGAUAUUUUCCGAAAACUGGGAUAAACCCGGUAAUAUAACUUAUGUACCUCUUACUUGUAUGGCAGUUGUUUAAACUAAGUACGUUUGUUCUACCAUUUAAAUUCAGACAUUGUCCAAUUGUCAACUUAGGACAUCCUUUGAAAUAGUACGAUCACAAUUAUGAAACACAAGUCUGCUCUGUUUUUUUCUCUCGUUUAUAUAUUUAUUUCCACUUGAAACGCAUGAGGUUGAACAUUUUCCAAAAUAGUUCGGUAUCGAGAAUCACUGAAAAUACAUUAUUUGUCAAAAAUGCGGAACUGAGGAAGUGAAUUGUUUUCCGAUUAAAACGUCUUAGUAUACGGAUAAUCGGAAAUGAUAAAAAAACUGCAUUCUAAACUAGUAAUAAGAUUCAGGGAUAAUGUUCAAUUAGAAAAUAAAAAAAUAUUAGACAUUUGAUAACAUGGGAAAGUGAGCAUUGAUAUAAAACAUCAUUAAAAAUGACAUGAAUGUUAAUGUGCCUUCAUGGGCUCCGGGAGUACCGAUUUUGUUUUAUCCUAGACCAUUGUGCAUCGUUAUCCUGUCUUAUAAGCUGUAACUUAGAUAACCAAAAUAUAAUAAAAGAAAGCGAAUAUUUAAAUCUGCAACAGAUCGUGUAAACUGUCAACCGAAAGCUGCGGAAACCGUUAGCUACAUCAAAGAAAUAAAAGAAGAUAGAAAACAAUUACUUAAUGUAUUACCAGUAUACGUAUGUCUGGCUUAUUGAAAAUAUAGACACGUUUCUUCAAUUUUUUGGUUUAUUGUCUAAAAGUUUUUCAUUCCGUCUUUUUGCUAUCAAUUAUAAUUUCUAUGAUUUUUUUUAAUAUAGGACAACACAAAAAGGACAACAAAAUAUCAACAACAAUAUAUGUGCUCGAAGGAAGAAUCACAGGAAAGAAUGUAACAAACCAUUUCAAUCCCAUCAGGUGCUACUUGGAAAGUACACACCAAUUGUAUUACAUGUAAUUCAUACUUUGAUGAUUGAAUUGGUUAUUUGAAUAAGUUGUACACUUCUGGUCGUUUUUUUAAUAUGCCUACUGUAAUGUUGUUCAUUUUUUAUUAUUGAUAAGGGUGUGUUUAUGUUUGUGUGUUUUGUGUAUGUUGUGUGUUUGUGUGUGUGUUGUUUGAAUCGUUUUAUUUUCACACAAACUAAUGAAUAAGGGCAGCAGUAGAGUUAUCACUGUUUGAAAUUCAUUAAUCGAUUGAGAAAAAGACCAAAUCUAGGUUAUCAUAUUAUAAACCAAAACUGUGGGAAACACAUCAAAUAUAAGAGAACUACUACACAACAGAAAAAAAAUAAAUAAAAUGUAACACACACAUAUAAACGAACUUUAAUAUAACCAUUGCCAUUUUCUUGACUUGAUACAGGACAAUGUGAUAAAACAAAAUUGUGGAUUGAACCUCGUUUUGUGGCAUGCAAAACCUCCCGCUUUUAUGGCAAUGUUAAAUAUAACAAUAAAAUGACAACAUUACAUGAUAGGACUACACUACAUAUGUAUGGGAAAACAUAUAGGUCAGAGAAACACGUGAAUAAUAGCUAAAAAAACAUGCCAGGUUAACAAUUUAACACGCCAAACGCGCGUUUCGUCCACCCAAGACUAACCAGUGACGCUCUGAUAAAAAAGUUCAAAAACCCCAAAAAAAAGGGUACAAAGUUGAAGAGCAUUGAGGACCUAAAGGCCCAAAAUGUUGUGCCCAAUACGGCUAUGAUUUUCUGCUUGGGAUAAGAACAUCUUUAUUAUUUGUUAUUAUCUUACUUUGGCAAAAUUUUUUUUUUAUAGAAUUGACUGAAUAACAGAUAUAAAGAUAUCUAAGUGUAAAUAUUGUAUAUGCAUUUUAGAUAGUCUCUCAUAACUCUUUUGAGAGUGGCUCUUGUAUGUUUUGUGAUGUUGUUUUAUUAACUAUUUGUAUGUUUUAUAUAAUAAAGAGGUGAUACUUUAAUGAAAUAUUGUCUUGUCUAUAAAUUAUAAAACCGCUGACUAACUACAAAAUGAAAACAGAUAAUGAAAACUUUUCAUAUAUACAUUCAAUUAUUCUUCUUAUGAUGCAAUGGCGACAACUUGUUUUGAAAUCCGGAGGCAUCUAAAAUCAGUACACCGUACACAAAGUAAUCAGUACAACAUGUAACGCCUAAUUUACCUCAGCUUAAAGGAGAAGAUAUACAUUUGAUCACGAUUGAAUAGUUAAAACGGAUUUUUUUUAUCUAUAUCAGUGCUUAUCUGCUAUAUAUUUUUAAUUAUUUUCCAUAGUAUUCGAUAACAAACACGUUUUCAAAUGCAAAAACAUAACAUCAUUAAUAGGAUACAAAAUGUAUUGGUCGGUAAAGGUUUGUCUAAAGGAGUGGCAAAUUUUAAUAACGAUUGCAACAUUAUACACAUGUUUAGAUUAUACCAGUGCAAAUCUGUACAAAUAUUGAAUGGUUACUAGCUUCACAGGAUGAAAGCAAGUACUUACUCCGUUCUGCCAAAAUAAUUAGCAGCAACUGUGAAACUAAAUCUGUAAAAUGUACACUUUGUGUCAAAAAUCUGAUGUUUUAACACGAAAUUUC
rnacentral:lncRNA from 1 species